GCACUAGACCUAAGGAAGCUGCAUGGGGAGGACACAGGACAGUGACAUCACAGGAUACCCCACCCAUCAGGAAAAUUAAGGCCCAGAACUCACUCAGCUCUUCCCCAGGAGGACCAAGCCCUGCGUCAGGUGCAGUGCUGCCUGCCCCACUGUGCCAUGGGCCCCGGGCUCCUCUGCUGGGCGCUGCUUUGUCUCCUGGGAGCAGGCCCAGUGGACACUGGAGUCACCCAAAGUCCCACACACCUGAUUAAAACAAGAGGACAGCAAGUGAUUCUGAGAUGCUCUCCUAUAUCUGGGCACAGCAGUGUGUACUGGUACCAACAGGCCCUGGGUCAGGGGCCCCAGUUUAUCUUUGAGUAUUAUGAGAAGGAAGAGAGAGGAAGAGGCAACUUCCCUGAUCGAUUCUCAGGUCGCCAGUUCCCUAACUAUAGCUCUGAGCUGAAUGUGAGCGCCUUGUUGCUGGGGGACUCGGCCCUGUAUCUCUGCGCCAGCAGCUUGGCACAGCCUGGCAGAGUCACUGACAUUCUGGGGCUAUUCAAAUCCUGUUCUAGAACAAGGAGCGAGAUCCUCCACUUCCCCGUGGUGAUUAGGCUUUCAGAGGUAGAAGCCUUAUUAGUUCAUAAUCAACACAAACUGACCUCACCAUCAAAUGUGUCGACCCCGAUGCUCACCCUCCUCAGCAGUCAGAGACUGGCUGUGUUCACCAGGAACUUAUUUUUCAAUACAGAUCUAACUUGCUACUAUUAG